GAUGAACGCUGGCGGCGUGCCUAAUACGUGCAAGUCGAGCGAACGGACGAGAAGCUUGCUUCUCUGAUGUUAGCGGCGGACGGGUGAGUAACACGUGGAUAACCUACCUAUAAGACUGGGAUAACUUCGGGAAACCGGAGCUAAUACCGGAUAAUAUUUUGAACCGCAUGGUUCAAAAGUGAAAGACGGUCUUGCUGUCACUUAUAGAUGGAUCCGCGCUGCAUUAGCUAGUUGGUAAGGUAACGGCUUACCAAGGCAACGAUGCAUAGCCGACCUGAGAGGGUGAUCGGCCACACUGGAACUGAGACACGGUCCAGACUCCUACGGGAGGCAGCAGUAGGGAAUCUUCCGCAAUGGGCGAAAGCCUGACGGAGCAACGCCGCGUGAGUGAUGAAGGUCUUCGGAUCGUAAAACUCUGUUAUUAGGGAAGAACAUAUGUGUAAGUAACUGUGCACAUCUUGACGGUACCUAAUCAGAAAGCCACGGCUAACUACGUGCCAGCAGCCGCGGUAAUACGUAGGUGGCAAGCGUUAUCCGGAAUUAUUGGGCGUAAAGCGCGCGUAGGCGGUUUUUUAAGUCUGAUGUGAAAGCCCACGGCUCAACCGUGGAGGGUCAUUGGAAACUGGAAAACUUGAGUGCAGAAGAGGAAAGUGGAAUUCCAUGUGUAGCGGUGAAAUGCGCAGAGAUAUGGAGGAACACCAGUGGCGAAGGCGACUUUCUGGUCUGUAACCGGCGCUGAUGUGCGAAAGCGUGGGGAUCAAACAGGAUUAGAUACCCUGGUAGUCCACGCCGUAAACGAUGAGUGCUAAGUGUUAGGGGGUUUCCGCCCCUUAGUGCUGCAGCUAACGCAUUAAGCACUCCGCCUGGGGAGUACGACCGCAAGGUUGAAACUCAAAGGAAUUGACGGGGACCCGCACAAGCGGUGGAGCAUGUGGUUUAAUUCGAAGCAACGCGAAGAACCUUACCAAAUCUUGACAUCCUUUGACAACUCUAGAGAUAGAGCUUUCCCCUUCGGGGGACAAAGUGACAGGUGGUGCAUGGUUGUCGUCAGCUCGUGUCGUGAGAUGUUGGGUUAAGUCCCGCAACGAGCGCAACCCUUAAGCUUAGUUGCCAUCAUUAAGUUGGGCACUCUAAGUUGACUGCCGGUGACAAACCGGAGGAAGGUGGGGAUGACGUCAAAUCAUCAUGCCCCUUAUGAUUUGGGCUACACACGUGCUACAAUGGACAAUACAAAGGGCAGCGAAACCGCGAGGUCAAGCAAAUCCCAUAAAGUUGUUCUCAGUUCGGAUUGUAGUCUGCAACUCGACUACAUGAAGCUGGAAUCGCUAGUAAUCGUAGAUCAGCAUGCUACGGUGAAUACGUUCCCGGGUCU
rnacentral:rRNA from 1 species